rnacentral:tRNA from 1 species
GGUCCGUUCGUCUAGUUGGUUAGGACGCAAGAUUUUCAUUCUUGAAAUCACGAGUUCGAGUCUCGUACGGACUA